CGUGUGCUCAUUUACAUGCUGUUUUUCAGGCCGAGGUGACUGGCAGAUGUAAAUUGAGAAGGCAGGAUUUAACCAGUAUAAAGUUAUCCAAAAUUGGGCUGUGAGGGAAAGAGAAAGCCAGAAUUCCUCCUCUCAUCUUUUUCUCCUACUCUCCUCUUGAUGCCUUUGUUUUUAGCAUGAGAGAUGCUGGAGUCUCAGCUAACAUCCUGUUUGCUGAAGUUUGAAGGGAAGUGGUACGAAGUCACUGCUGGUGCCACGAAAUCAUUGAGGAAGUUUAACUCCUUUGGAUAGAUUUGUCCCUUACCCAGCAGGUUUAAAAAUAUCCCUCCAAAGUUAUGUUUUUAAUGUAUGCAGGUGAGACUGUUGGACAAAGUAAGGGUAGAGUUUACCCAAGUUCUUCAAAAAUUCACAAUUUGUUCUAAUUUUAUUGUGCAUCAGCAUGUAAUUUGCAUGCUUUCCUUCAGCUUCCCCUUGAACAUAUAAACACUUUUAGUUACUUCAGUUAAAUAGAAACAGAACCUCACAUCCAAAGAUGCCAACUAUGCCUUAAAGUGGAGUCUUUUUGCACGUGCUUGUCUAUCUGUUGCAGCAUAUUGAAGUGAGGCAUCAAAUGAGGAGGAAAAAACAUGUUCACUUGAUCGUCUUUAAAUUAGAAUAAAGGAGUCUGUUUCAAACUGAAAAACAUGUGCGAACCCUUUGAAGUGCCCUGGGAGAAGCUGAGGUGACUGCAGUUUCUCAUUGUUUUCCUUUCAUCCCCCCCAACCACUUCCUGCAAAUAAAAGAAGUUAAACCUUAAAGGAGUGAACAUCAGCUCAGUUCAUUAUGAUCAGCUAAGUGAAGACUUCCUAGUUCACGUACCACCUCACAACCCCCCAGAGAACCUCCUGCGAUAGCUUUAAAUGUUCCCACAGACUUUCUUCCAAUAUAAUGCUGGAAACUGACCUGAAAAUCUAGAUGUGCUUAUAUGUGGCACUUUACGAUAGGCUUAUCUAAAAAACAGAAGUAUUGAACGUUUUAUUUUAAGAGAAAUUUUAUUUCAUUAUUACAGCUUCCAUCCUUGCUAAAUUUAAACCAAACACCUUUUGCAGUCACAAUUGUGUGGCUGGGAGAUGACCCUCAGGAGAGAAGCACUCCGAGCGAGAGGCCUGGCUGUAUUUUUCUUCCACUUCUUCACCUGUCUUCAGACACCAUUUCCUUUUUAAGUCCGGCGGUGCGGAUUUACUGGGCUGCUUCCUUCCGGGACCCUGUGGAAUACAACAUUAAACCACAGGGAGGAGAGAAAACCCGUAGAGCACUAAAAUAAAGUUAUGUCAAAACCAUUUUCCUCUUCCUGUAGUCUUCCCCCAAGCUCACAAGUAUCCUCUGAGGGACGGUGAACAUAACAAGCCAUUCAGUUUAUAUAAAUGGGCACUAACAGACUUUUUCGCCAUUUUGAUAUGUCCAAAUUUUGCAGGCAUAUCCUGUGGUCUAUCAGGCACAGCCUUAGUUUCAAUUUAGCGUCUCCCUGUGGACUCCUGUCUUCCUAUUUCAUAUGGAAAUUGUAUAUGAUUUUUUUGUCCUUUACCAAUUCAUCUGCUUCAAAGCUUAGCACCCCUUUUUAUUCCAAAAGGAAAAUGUGCAAGCUAGCAUUUCUUAAUGUUUGGAGAAGAGUCAAACAAACAGCAGGAAUGUCCUAACUUGGCCCUGUCCAACAGUCACUUUAGGAACAGUCAAAAAAUAAAUAAAUGAUAUAUCACUGUUUUAGCUGUAAGAAGUCUGCAAAAGUCUUUGGAAGAAGAAGAAAAGCACCUGUAUUUUUAUUGGAGAGGGCUUGCCUUAUACUACUCCAUAAAAUUUGGACACCACCAAGGGGAUAAUUUCUGAUGAUCUUUUGAACAGAAGUGCGCCGUGCCUCAAUCAGACUCAGCUCAUGUCCGGAAGAAAUGUUUGAGAAUGAUGUCAGUGAAAAGAAUUGAAUUGAGAAGGCAAUUAUUUUUAUUUUGUAGCAAAUCUGUGUGACUGCACGUUAUUAAAUAGAAAGCCUGGUUUAGUAUGACAUUAUUGAACUGUAACAAAUGUCAGCACUCAAUUGUUUAU